rnacentral:lncRNA from 1 species
UGCUUCGAGAGCCAUAGAGAGAUUAGGUUUGAUCAGUUCUGAGUUAGAGUAUCCUCUCUGGGUCAGUGGACCCAAAUGUGACCCAUCAGUGGCAGUGUCAGUCUGUCGUUUCAGUCCAGUGUUCAUAGAGGGUAGAUACCUUCCAGCUGACCUUGUGGUUCUAGACUUGACAGAUUUUGAUGUCAUUCUAGGGAUGGAU